AAACAUGUUUACGUUUUACUGUCCGAUGACGCAAUUGCAACAAAAAUUGUUUGCGCGUGGAAAUUGUAAUUGCGUCAUUGGACAGUAAAUUGUAAACAUGUUUUCAA
rnacentral:pre_miRNA from 1 species